CUCUAUGAUGAUUUAUUCUAUUAUCACGACGGUCAACGUAGCUACAACUUUGACGACCACAGCCUGUGACAGGGCUUAGAUCUGAAA
rnacentral:snoRNA from 1 species